UCCUACGGGAGGCAGCAGUGGGGAAUUUUCCGCAAUGGGCGAAAGCCUGACGGAGCAAUACCGCGUGAGGGAAGAAGGCUUUUGGGUUGUAAACCUCUUUUCUCAGGGAAGAAGAAAGUGACGGUACCUGAGGAAUAAGCAUCGGCUAACUCCGUGCCAGCAGCCGCGGUAAU
rnacentral:rRNA from 1 species